rnacentral:rRNA from 1 species
AAAACUCAAAUGAAUUGACGGGGGCCCGCACAAGCGGUGGAGCAUGUGGUUUAAUUCGAUGCAACGCGAAGAACCUUACCUACUCUUGACAUCCAGAGAACUUAGCAGAGAUGCUUUGGUGCCUUCGGGAACUCUGAGACAGGUGCUGCAUGGCUGUCGUCAGCUCGUGUUGUGAAAUGUUGGGUUAAGUCCCGCAACGAGCGCAACCCUUAUCCUUUGUUGCCAGCGG